GAUGAACGCUGGCGGCGUGCCUAAUACAUGCAAGUCGAGCGAACGGACGAGAAGCUUGCUUCUCUGAUGUUAGCGGCGGACGGGUGAGUAACACGUGGAUAACCUACCUAUAAGACUGGGAUAACUUCGGGAAACCGGAGCUAAUACCGGAUAAUAUUUUGAACCGCAUGGUUCAAAAGUGAAAGACGGUCUUGCUGUCACUUAUAGAUGGAUCCGCGCUGCAUUAGCUAGUUGUUAAGGUAACGGCUUACCAAGGCAACGAUGCAUAGCCGACCUGAGAGGGUGGUCGGCCACACUGGAACUGAGCCACGGUCCAGACGCCUACGGGAGGCAGCAGUAGGGAAUCUUCCGCAAUGGGCGAAAGCCUGACGGAGCAACGCCGCGUGAGUGAUGAAGGUCUUCGGAUCGUAAAACUCUGUUAUUAGGGAAGAACAUAUGUGUAAGUAACUGUGCACAUCUUGACGGUACCUAAUCAGAAAGCCACGGCUAACUACGUG
rnacentral:rRNA from 1 species